AUUGAACGCUGGCGGCAUGCUUUACACAUGCAAGUCGAACGGUAACAGGGAGCUUGCUCCGCUGACGAGUGGCGAACGGGUGAGUAAUGCAUCGGAACGUACCCAGUCGUGGGGGGAUAACGUAGCGAAAGUUACGCUAAUACCGCAUACGUCCUGAGGGAGAAAGCGGGGGACCGUAAGGCCUCGCGCGAUUGGAGCGGCCGAUGUCGGAUUAGCUAGUUGGUAGGGUAAAGGCCUACCAAGGCGACGAUCCGUAGCGGGUCUGAGAGGAUGAUCCGCCACACUGGGACUGAGACACGGCCCAGACUCCUACGGAGGCAGCAGUGGGGAAUUUUGGGACAAUGGGCGAAAGCCUGAUCCAGCCAUGCCGCGUGAGUGAAGAAGGCCUCGGUUGGU
rnacentral:rRNA from 1 species